UGUAGUGGCAUAGUAUUAGAUCCUUCUCCAAAGCCACAAGCAGAGAAGUUUGAAGCAGCAAAGUACUCAACUGGAAAGGAUUAAAAACAAGUGUUAUGUUUUCUUGUCCCAGUAUCUUCUUUUAGUAAUACAGGAAGAAGUAUUUUCAAAUCAUGUGAUAUCCAUGUAAAAUUUGGAAGUCUUAAAUGAAGAAAAAAGGAAUAAAAAAUUCAUUAGUGUGCCUAUUUGAAUUGCAGAGAGAGCUAUCUGAUGCUAUGAAGCAGAAGAUUCGAUCUGAGUAUGAGGCAAUUGGUGCAAGCCCAGAUAAGCCCCUACAGUCAAACUAUUUUCUUAAUAUCAUGAUUAUCAUUGCUGUUUUG